rnacentral:rRNA from 1 species
GAUGAACGCUGGCGGCAUGCCUAAUACAUGCAAGUCGAACGCUGAAGCACUCUGCUUGCAGAGUGUGGAUGAGUGGCGAACGGGUGAGUAACACGUGGGGAACCUGCCCAUAAGAGGUGGAUAACAUCCGGAAACGGGUGCUAAUACCGCAUAGGUGAUCAUAGCGCAUGCUUAGAUCAUUAAAGAUGGCUUCGGCUAUCGCUUAUGGAUGGCCCCGCGGCGUAUUAGCUAGUUGGUGAGGUAAUGGCUCACCAAGGCUGUGAUACGUAGGUGACCUGAGAGGGUGAUCGGCCACACUGGAACUGAGACACGGUCCAGACUCCUACGGGAGGCAGCAGUAGGGAAUCUUCCACAAUGGGCGAAAGCCUGAUGGAGCAAUACCGCGUGAGUGAAGAAGGUCUUCGGAUCGUAAAGCUCUGUUGUUAGAGAAGAACAAGAGGUGUAGUAACUGGCACCUCCUUGACGGUAUCUAACCAGAAAGUCACGGCUAACUACGUGCCAGCCGCCGCCGUAA